UACAUACUCCCUCCGUCCGGAAAUACUUGUCGAAGAAAUGAAUGUAUUUAGACAUAUGUUAGUUUUAGAUACAUCCAUUUUUAUCCAUUUCCGCGACAAGUAAUUCCGGACGGAGGGAGUAAUUU
rfam:Triticum aestivum genome assembly, contig: Triticum_aestivum_CS42_TGACv1_scaffold_361671_4DS